CAAGCGCUCAGUAGAAUGCUCUGCACACGGUGAGCGCUCGAUCGAGACGAUCGAGUGAAUGAAUGGUCUUGAUUGAACGUUUACUGGGCGCGCGGCCCCGUCCGGGGCGCGUGGG
rnacentral:precursor_RNA from 13 species